rnacentral:rRNA from 1 species
GACAGAGGUGCCAAGCGUUAGGCGGAAUCACUGGGCUUAAAGCGUGUGUAGGCGGGCGCCUAAGGACCUUGUGAAAUCCCACGGCUCAACCGUGGAACUGCUGGGUAUACUGGGUGCCUUGGGUCAUCUAGGGGCUGCCGGAACAAAUGGUGGAGCGGUGAAAUGCGUAGAUAUCAUUUGGAACGCCAACGGCGAAAGCAGGCAGCUGGGGAUGCACCGACGCUGAGACACGAAAGCCAGGGGAGCAAACAGG